AAGAGCCGGAUGCCUUAAUAGGGCCCGUCCGGUUCUGAGAGGGGGGCAGCCGUGAGGUAGGCCUCUACUCUAC
rnacentral:ncRNA from 1 species